CACGUAGGGCGCAAGCGUUGUCCGGAUUUAUUGGGCGUAAAGAGCUCGUAGGCGGCUUGUCGCGUCGUCUGUGAAAACCCGCGGCUCAACGGCGGGCUUGCAGUCGAUACGGGCAGGCUGGAGUUCGGUAGGGGAGACUGGAAUUCCUGGUGUAGCGGUGAAAUUCGUAGAUAUGGGGAGGAACACCGGUGGCGAAGGCGGUCACCUGGACGGAUACUGACGCUGAGACGCGAAAGCGUGGGGAGCAAACAGG
rnacentral:rRNA from 1 species